CGGCAGUUGAAACGCGUCAUUCGUGCCCACUCCUCUGCCUGAUUGUCGGUUCGUGACGGCGACGAGGGUGGACAAGGCACCGGGGCGUCUGGUGGUUGUUGUCUGUUGAGCCGAGCUAGUUGCGACGGCGAAGGCGGGACGUCGUGUCGGUACGGGCCCUUCGGCGACCCCGGGCCCUUCGGCGACCCCGGCUCCUUCAGCAGCUCCUGGGCCUCCAGCAGGACUCUAGCGUUCACUCCUCCCCCGCCGCCGCCCUGGUAGCCGUUCCGGGAGCCCUGGUAGCUGGAGUACCGGGGGUUGUCUUUGGCCGUCUGGAAGACGUCGCCAGGUGGGUACGCCUUGUCCCAGGAGUCCUGGGAGACGGUGCUGGGAUUCUUCCUGGGUUGUCUGAUGGCGGAAGAGGAAAACAAGGAAACGACUGUGAGAGCAGCAUCUGAUGUAAAGGGGUGCUGCGCUACAGAGGGCGCCAAACAAAAAUCAUUUCUACUGGAGAGGAGGCUGGUGCAAGAAAAGAAAAGUUAGAACGGUGUGAAUAGUUUCCCUCAGUGUUGUCUUUGAGCAGCUUUGGUCUCUUUUGUCAACAUGUGAAAUGAAAUCGGGUGUCGUCGACGCCGGUCUCUGAAAAUUGGACCCAGCGGAGCGUGUGAAGAGUCAACCUGCGCCGACUCCUCUCAUCUCACCCAUCAAGCAGCGAAUCCGUCCUCAACUGGAACCAAUCUCCACCGAACUCAAAACAAAGCGCCGCUUUGUUCUCAUUAAAGGAUUUCCACCAUUUUUUA